AGGGUUAUAGUUAAAAUAAUAACAUUUGAUUUGCAAUCAAAAAAUAUUAAUUUAUAUUAAUUUACCUUA
rnacentral:tRNA from 1 species